CGCGCGGCCGGCCUCCGGGCCACCGGGCGUCCGCCGGGGACAACCAAACCCGAAUUUUUCGUGUAUAUCUGAGGGGCGAAAGCCCGAAAACAAAAUGAAUCAAAACUUUCAACAACGGAUCUCUUGGCUCUGGCAUCGAUGAAGAACGCAGCGAAAUGCGAUAAGUAAUGUGAAUUGCAGAAUUCAGUGAAUCAUCGAAUCUUUGAACGCACAUUGCGCCCGCCGGCACUCCGGCGGGCAUGCCUGUCCGAGCGUCAUUUCAACCCUCAGGGCCACCCUUUCGGGGGUUCGGCGCCUGGUGCUGGGGAUCAGCGGCCCUCCGGGGCCCCUGUCCCCCAAAUUCAGUGGCGGUCGCGCCGCAGCCUCCCCUGCGUAGUAGCACACCUCGCACCGGAGAGCGGCUCGGCCACGCCGUGAAACCCCCAACUUUCACAAGGUUGACCUCGGAUCAGGUAGGAAUACCCGCUGAACUUAAGCA
rnacentral:rRNA from 1 species